rnacentral:rRNA from 1 species
UACGUAGGGUCCGAGCGUUGUCCGGAAUUACUGGGCGUAAAGCGCACGUAGGCGGAUAUUUAAGUCAGGGGUGAAAUCCCGCAGCUCAACUGCGGAACUGCCUUUGAUACUGAGAAUCUUGAGUAUGGGAGAGGUGAGUGGAACUGCGAGUGUAGAGGUGAAAUUCGUAGAUAUUCGCAAGAACACCGGUGGCGAAGGCGGCUCGCUGGGCCAGUUCUGACACUCAUCCGCAAAAGCGUGGGGAGCAAACAGG